rnacentral:misc_RNA from 1 species
GGAAGUAAAGUCGUAACAAGGUUCCGUAGGUGAACCUGCGGAAGGAUCAUUAAUAAAUGGUCUACGUUUUAAGUAGACACUUAUAAUCCUACCCUUUGUGAAUUUGUUGUUUGAAAUAAUUUUUUUAAAAUAUUGAUUGUCUUUCCCUGUUGAAUAGAAUGUUUUCGAACAUGAAAUUCGCAGGGGAGUGUCAGUAAUUUUAAAAGACCUUUUUAAAAUUAAACUUUUGUAUCAUUUGUCUAAAAUUAUUUUAAUAUAAAACACUUUGACAUGGAUCUCUUGGUUCUCGCAACGAUGAAGAACGCAGCAAAUGCGAUAAGUAGUGUGAAUUGCAGAAUACGUGAAUCAUCGAAUCUUCGAACGCAUAUUGCACUUUUUAGUUUACUAAAAAGUAUGUCUGUUUGAGUAUCAGUAAAUAUUCUCAUAAAACUAUUGUUUUAUGGUUAUGAGUGUUUACAACGAUACAAGUUGUUUCACUUUAAUUUUUUAAAAUUUGAAUUUUUCUAAUUUUAAAUAAAAUUGGAUAAAAUUUUCCCGUAAAAAGGAAUAACCUAAACAAUUUUAGUUUUUGAUUAGAAUUUUCAUUAUAAGGAAAAUUUAAUAAAUAACUUGAUCUCAAAUCAGAUAAGAGUACCCGCUGAACUUAGCAUAUCAAUAGCGGAGGAAAGAAACUAACAAGGAUUCCCUUAGUAACGGCGAGUGAAGCGGGAAGAGCUCAAAUUUGAAUCUUCAAGGUUUUACCUUGACGAAUUGUAGUUUAAAGAAGUGUUUCUGUUGAGUUUUGGUAAAAGUUCUUUGGAAUAGGACAUCAUAGAGGGUGAGAAUCCCGUAUUUGACCAUUAUUUCAGCUGUGUGAUACACUUUCAAAGAGUCGGAUUGUUUGGGAAUGCAGUCCAAAUGGGUGGUAAAUUUCAUCUAAAGCUAAAUAUUGGCGAGAGACCGAUAGCGAACAAGUACCGUGAGGGAAAGAUGAAAAGAACUUUGAAAAGAGAGUUAAACAGUACGUGAAAUUGUCAAAGGGAAGCGUUGACACCAGUGUUGUUUCUCGAAAUCAAUUAAAAGAGUUGGAUUUUGUGUGUAUUGACCUUAACAGCUUGCUUCACUCUUUCCUGCUUUUUUAAUGCACUUUUCGUUUAACAGGUCAACAUCAGUUUCUUUUGUUGUAAAGGGUCAUUGGAAGGUGGCUUUCUCUUCGGAGAAGUGUUUAUAGCCUUUGAUCUCUGCAAUCGGAGAGACUGAGGUCUGCAGCGUAGAUCCUUCGGGUUAGAUACAUUUGUGCUAAGCUACAGCUUUUCAUAGACAACUGUUGACUAUGUUUAGUCUUGUAACUUACCCGCUUAUGCUAUUUUACCUACGCUUAGGAU